rnacentral:lncRNA from 1 species
UGGUUGUCGUCUCAUUCCCUUUAUAGAGUGUUGCUGCUCACAGGAAGCUUUUCCUAGAGUUCAAAGUGGAGAAGUUGAAAUCAUCCUUUCAAUAAUAGUAUGUGUUAUGUGUGGCUUAUUGAACAGACAUGUUCAGUUUCAGAUCUAGUUUAAUUAUAACUACAUAAUGACGUAUACAUAUAUGAAACAGAGGCUGUAACCGAGUAUAAAUAGAAUACAGAUUUAGCACACGUGACAUCUCCCCUUAUCAGAAAAUGAAAGUAGCAGAUUAAAAUAAAGAGAAGUAUGCAAAUGAGAAAUUAACGAAAUUAAUUAAUUUAAAUGAAUCAUUAAAAUAUAUCGAAAGAGUUUCAAAAUAAAAUU